ensembl:misc_RNA 7SK 7SK RNA
GGAUGUGAGAGCGAUCUGGCUGCGACAUGUCACCCCAUUGAUCGCCAGGGUUGAUUCGGCUGAUCUGGCUGGCUAGGCAGGUGUCCCCCUCCUCCCUCACCGAUCCAUGUGCGUCCCUCCCGAAGCUGCACGCUGGGUCGAAGAGGACGACCUCCCCCCCCCCCCCCGCGCCCGCCCAGGAGAGGACCGGUCUUCAGGCAAGGGUAUACGAGUAGCUGCGCUCCCCUGCUAGAACCUCCAAACAAGCUCUCAAGGUCCAUUUGAAUUGUUUGGAGGUUUAUUUUGGUGUUGAGUUCUUCAUAAAUUUUGGAUAUAAACUCCUUAUCAGAUGUAUCAUUGGGAAAUAUAUUCUUCCAUUCAGU